UGGAGGUGUCGAUGGGUAGCUGGUGCUAGUGGCGAUGGCAUCGAGCUCCCUCCGCGGUGGCUGGCGUAUGCUGCUCCUCGCGGGGAGCUGGCUUGGAGCAGUAGAGCUCGCGGUGGCUCAGUGAUCCCAGCCCUUAUUGCUCAGGAUGCUAUUCUCAUUGAUCCACUACUGAAAUAUGGGACCCUAAAACUUUGAUUUGCUGCUGCCAUCAUCAACCGAGAUGAGGUGCCAGACGAGCUUGCAGGCAGUGGAGGGAGCUCAGUUCGGCACGGUGAGCUCGUGGCUGGUGAGGGCUUACGCUCAGCUCGCUGCGGGGUCCUGGGCGCGGCGGAUCUGUGACGGUAGCCUUUGAGCCGCCGCAUUUUUCCCUACAGGGCGUGCGCCGCGGAGCGGCCACGGCCAUGCCCGCGGCGACAAGCAGGUGCGGUAGCGUCGUGCCCGUGGGUCAUCUUUUUCUUUUUUUGUUUUGCAAAAAUACCAUCAAUGCUGGUUCGAGCCUCAAACCGGCACUGAUGUUGAGUUAUUGUGAUGAUUUUAGAUCCGACACUGAUAGUCGGUGACUAUCAGUAUCGAGUAAUCAGUGCCAAUUGAAAAUCCGGCAGUGAAACUAUUUUUCAAUGGCA